GUUGGUUUUGAGCUUCUGCUUUGUUUUAUAGGAUCUUGGUGCUUGUGGGCUUUUUAAGGUUCUAUGGAGAAAAGAAGAUACAGUCCCCAACUUACCGGCAAACUCUGCUUCUGCUGAUGAGUUUUUGCUUUCACCUCAUAGUUGUACAAUGCCAAGAAAGUAGUACUAAAAUGAUAAGGCACCUCUCCACGGAUACUCCAUCGCCUUCUAGGCCACCCCAGUUUAGCACUGGACUCAAA
rnacentral:misc_RNA from 1 species